rnacentral:rRNA from 1 species
ACCUCAGUUCAGGUGAGAUACCCC